AUUGAACGCUGGCGGAAUGCUUUACACAUGCAAGUCGAACGGCAGCACGGACUUCGGUCUGGUGGCGAGUGGCGAACGGGUGAGUAAUGUAUCGGAACGUGCCCAGUCGUGGGGGAUAACGUAGUGAAAACUACGCUAAUACCGCAUACGAGCUAUGGAUGAAAGCGGGGGAUCGCAAGACCUCGCGCGAUUGGAGCGGCCGAUAUCAGACUAGGUAGUUGGUGGGGUAAAGGCCCACCAAGCCAACGAUCUGUAGCUGGUCUGAGAGGACGACCAGCCACACUGGAACUGAGACACGGUCCAGACUCCUACGGGAGGCAGCAGUGGGGAAUUUUGGACAAUGGGCGAAAGCCUGAUCCAGCCAUUCCGCGUGCAGGAUGAAGGCCCUCGGGUUGUAAACUGCUUUUGUACAGAACGAAAAGGUUUCUACUAAUACUAGGAGCUCAUGACGGUACUGUAAGAAUAAGCACCGGCUAACUACGUGCCAGCCGCCGCCGUAA
rnacentral:rRNA from 1 species